GACAGAGGGUGCGAACGUUGUUCGGAAUUACUGGGCGUAAAGCGCGUGUAGGCGGCAGCGCAAGUCGGACGUGAAAUCCCACGGCUCAACCGUGGAAGUGCACUCGAAACUGCGCAGCUAGAGUCCUGGAGAGGAAGGUGGAAUGCUUGGUGUAGAGGUGAAAUUCGUAGAUAUCAAGCGGAACACCGGUGGCGAAGGCGGCCUUCUGGGACAGUGACUGACGCUGAGACGCGAAAGCGUGGGGAGCAAACAGGAUUAAGAAA
rnacentral:rRNA from 1 species